GACGAACGCUGGCGGCGUGCUUAAAAACAUGCAAGUCGAACGGACUUCUCAUGAAGCUUGCGAUUGAGAAGUUAGUGGCGGACGGGUGAGUAACGCGUGGGCAACCUGCCCCUGAGCCCGGGAUAACAGUUCGAAAGGACUGCUAAGACCGGAUAUACUUGCGGUGAAGCAUUUCACUGCAAGGAAAGGGAACGCUCAGGGAUGGGCCCGCGUCCCAUUAGCUAGUUGGUGAGGUAACGGCCCACCAAGGCGACGAUGGGUAGCCGGCCUGAGAGGGUGAACGGCCACACUGGGACUGAGACACGGCCCAGACUCCUACGGGAGGCAGCAGUUGGGAAUCUUCGGCAAUGGGCGCAAGCCUGGACCGAGCAACGCCGCGUGAGUGAUGAAGGUUUUCGGAUUGUAAAGCUCUGUCUUCCGGGACGAUAAUGACGGUACCGGAGGAGGAAGCCACGGGCUAACUACGUG
rnacentral:rRNA from 1 species